rnacentral:lncRNA from 1 species
GUUUUGAAUACUAAACCAGCCUUGCAUCCUUGGAAUAAACCCCACUUGGUUGUGGAGUAUAAAUUUUUUAAUAUAUAUUAAAGCAUUCCAUUUGAUUAUAUUUUUUUGAGCAGGUUUUCCUAUAAUCUCUUGUUUGAUGAUAUGUAGUUGUCAUUCUUUGCUUGUUUUUAACUACUGUCAUUGUCUGGUUUUGGUGUCAAGGUGAUAGUGGCUUCCCAAGUUCUGUUUUUUAGGAAGACUAUGUAAUUGUUUUUAAUUGUUGUUUUAAUGUUUCAUAAUAUCCUCCAGUGAACCAGUUGAGCCUGGAGAUUUUCUGGAUACUUUUUAGUUACAUAUUAUUUGAUAAGUAUGGAACUAUUCAGAGUGUCUGUUUUCAUAUUGGAUAAAUUGGAUAGUUGGUCCUCUUCAAGGAAAUGUUUCAUUUCAUCUAACUUUUCUUAUUUGGAGACUUGUUGGGAGUAUUCCCUUAUUAUCUUUUUAAUGGUAACAGGGUCCGUACUUAUAUCGCAUUUUAUUCCUGAUUUUGGAAAUACGUCACCUCUCUUUUUAAUCAUUGUCAGUCUUAGACAUUUACCAAUUUUACUGAUCAUUUUGAAGAACCAGCACUUUAUUGAUUUUUCUCUAUUGCCUUUCUGGGUGUUUUUUUUUGUUUGUUUUAUUUUAUUUUUUUUUAUCGCACCACGCAGCAUGUGGGAUCUUAGUUCCCCGACCAGGGAUCGAACCUAUGCCCCCUGCAUUGAGAGCACAGAGUCUUAACCACUGGCCCGCCAGGGAAGUCCCUUUACCUUUCUGUCCUUAAUUUCACUGAUUUCUGUUCAGAUCUUUAUGAUAGCAUAUCUUCUACUUUGCUUUGGUUGUAUUUUGCUCUUUUUAUUUUUUGAGGGAUGCUAAGAUUAUUGAUUUGAAACUUUUUUUUUCUUUUCUAAUGGAUCAUUAAGUAUUAUAAAGUUCCUUCAGCACUGUUCCAGCCUUAUCCCAAAAGUUUUCAUUACAAUUUAUUCAGUUCUAAAUAUCCCUUGAUUCCCUUAGAGACUUCCUCUGACACCCAUGUAUUAUUCAGAAGUAUAUUGUUUCAUUUCCUACUGUUUGGAGCAUUUUCUGGUAUCUUUUGUUACUGAUUUAUUACUUGUUUCAUGUUUGGUUUGUUUAAAUUUGUUGAAGUUUGUUUUAUGACCCAGGGUGUGGUAUAUCUUGUUCUGUAAGGCUUCUCGAAACGAAUGUGUAUUCUGCUGUUCCUGGGUGAAGUUUCUAUAAAUGUCUGCACAAUCCUCUUGGUUGGGGUUAUUGCUCAGAUUGUUUACAUCCUUGCUGACUUUCUGUGUAGUGUUUCUGUCCGUUGCAGAGAGAUGGAUGAUGAAGUCCUGAAGUAUAAUUGAGAAAUUGUCUAUUCCUUACAAGUUCUGUAAGUUUCUGCUUCAUGUAUUCCAAAGUUCUGUUGUUUGGUGCAUACACAUACAGGAUUGCUAUGUCAUCUUGGUGUAUUGACCCUUUAAUCAUAAUAAAAGGGUUCAUUUUCUUGCCUUUGAAGCAUACUUUAUCUGAUAUUAGUAUAGUCACUACUGCAUUUUUAUUUCUUCCUUUUAUUUAUUUUUUUUUGUGGUACGCGAGCCUCUCACUGUUGUGGCCUCUCCCGUUGCAGAGCACGGGCUCCGGACGGGCAGGCUCAGCAGCCAUGGCUCACGGGCCCAGCCGCUCCGCGGCAUGUGGGAUCUUCCCGGACCAGGGCAUGAACCUGUGUCCCCUGCAUCGGCAGGCGGACUUUCAACCACUGUGCCACCAGGGAAGCCCACUACUGCAUUUUUUUAUUAAUGUUUGUAGUUUAUAUUUUUCCAUAAUUUUAUUUUUAACAUUUACAUCAUUAUAUUUGAAGUAAGUUUCUUGUGACAGCAUGUAGUUGGGGUCAUACUUUUUUUUUUAAUCCAUUAUGCCACUUUUAAUUCGUAGGUUUAGAUCAUCUAAAUUUAAAAUAAUUAUAUGUUAGAGCUUAACUGUAGCAUUUUAUUAAUCUUUUUUUUGUGUGUGUUCCCUUUGUAUUAUUCCUCUUGUUUUCCAGUUUUUAUUAUUUGGGUUCCCCCACCCCAUUUCCUGUGGUUAUUUAAUAUUUUUUAGAAUUCCAUUUGAUACGUCUGUAAUGUUUUUGAGUAUAUAUCUUAAUUUUCUUUACGUAUUGUAUUAUGUAUACAUAACUUAUCACAGACUGUUACCAGCAUUUUAGCACUUUGAUGUAUAGAAACCUUGAUUCCAUUAGGUUCACCUACAUUCCCUAUUCUUAAUAUAAUUGUUGUAUUUUCUCGUUGUAUACUGAGAACUAUAUUGGAUAUUGUAAUUUUUGCCUCAACUAAGUUUCCCCCCCCCCCCCCACAAAAUUCAUGAGAAGCAUAGUCUGUUUACCUCUACUUUUACCAUUCCAUUGUUGUUUCUCCAUUCUUGAAGUCCCAAGUCUUCUGUUAACAUUUCCAUUCUGUUCGGCAAAUUUCCUGUGGCCUUUUUUCUAGGGUAUGUCUGCUGUUAACAAAUGUUUUUUCUUUCUUCAUCUAAAACUGUCUUUAUGUUCACUUCAUUCCUGAAGGAUAUUUUUGUGCGACAUAAGACUUGGGGUCCACAGUUCUUUUAGGACAAAAGAAAACAUGUCUGUUUUUUCUUCUGUCCAUCUCCUUUUGUCCAGCAUGGUUUCAGAUGAGAAUCCUGCCUUUCAACUCAUUGUUCCUCUAUUUGAAAGGCAUCCUUUCCGUCAGGUGCUUUCGAAGUGUUUUUUAUUAUAAUAUUCAGUUUAUGAUGUGUCCUGGCAUAGCAUUUUUAGGGUUUAUCCUGUUUGGUGUUUUCUCAGCUUUUUGAAUCAUGUGGUGUAUGCUCUUUGCCAAAUUUGGGAGAUUUUUAGUUUUUUUUCAAAUAUUUUUUCAACCCCACGCUUUUUCUCCUCUCAGGGACUCCAGUAACGUGAAUGAUAAUUCUCACAUUCUUGUUCCAUAGGACCCUCAGGCUCCCAUCUUUUUGUUUCCACCAGUCUGUUUUUCUCUGUUCCGCACAUUGAUUAACUUUCAUUGAUCUUACUGGUUUCUUUCUGUCUCAUAUAUAAUCUACUAUUGAGCUCACCCAGUGAGUUUUCAUUUUGGUUUUUGAAUUUUCCAGUUGUUUGAUUUCCAUUUGGUUCUUUUAUACUUCUUCUGUAUUUUUGCCUAGCUUAUAAUGCCAAAGAAGGACUCUGAGAAAGCAGGCAAAACUGUAUAGUCCAAGGUCAUGGUUCUCUGGUGGUUUAUCUUGAUGUUGGGAUAGAAAUCCUAGAUUAACUGGAGAAAUGAAAAGCCUGGUAUCCACAAGAAUUUCUGAGAACAGAUCUUACAACUGAGACCCGUAGAUUGUUCAGAGUUGUGUUUAAGGUGCCUGGAUUCUCCGUGAAUCCUACUGUCUUCUGCCUUGUUGCCCAAGCCAGACACACUUUGCAGCCAUUUUUUCAUCAUCACCCACAUCCAGCCACUGUCCCAUUCUGUUCUUUUUUUCCUAGUAGACACUCAGUAUAUGUGUGUUCUAGUGAAUGGCUACAUGCAGCAGGGAAUUUAUAUUAUAAUGUUUGGCUCCCUCACAGUGUUUACACAAAGCUGUGUAUAUAGUUGGCACCGUAUAGAACAUAUGUUGACCUUGAAGAAAAUCCACACAAGCUUUUAUGGCCAGAUCAUAGUCAUAAUGAAUGAUUGUUUUGGGUCAUCAAAGACCACGCUCAGUUGCAGUAAUUCGCUGAUUCUCAGUACUCUGCGUAUUUUUACAGUCAACAGCUGUGCUUUAUUACACCAAAACGGUGCAAAGCAAACUCAGCCAAGGGAAAAGGCACAAGGACUGAAGUCCAGAGGAAACCAGGGACAAUCUGCAGUGGUCCUGUCUCAGGGAAGUCACACAGGACGGGCCUAAUUUAAGCUCCAUCAAGGAGUUAACAGCAAUAGAUUGAAAUGUCUACUGGGGACGCUAAUUAGAGACCCAGUGCCCAGGGUUUCUUGGGGACACACUAGCACAUACCAAAUUCUAGACCUCUAGAAGGAUAGAUAGAUCUUUGGCAUUAAGCCACACAGUUAAACAAAAAACCUGGGCACACUGAGCCACUCGUCGUUUGUGGGAAUGAUGGGAAAUCUCCCAAAAUCUAAGGUCCCAAACCCCAGCCCUUGCAAAGGUGAACCUUGCAAGCUCGAGAGAAUAGCAGUCUCAGGCCUGCUGUGUUACGUCUUCAUAGUGACUUAAAUGGUACUAAGAUGCUGAAUAAUUCAGACUUCUGUAACAAACGUUAAGCAAAUACAGUUUCCUACAACAAAAAGUGAAUCAUAACUCUGAGGUGAAAUUGUUGUAAAAAAAAAAAAAUCAGUAAGCCAAAGUAGAACUUAACAAGCUAGCCAGGAUUUAGUUUAGUGAUGACAAAGUACAGAGGCAGUCUGGUGACAAAGUUCCUUAUCUCUUCCCAAUAUUAAUAUAUGUAUGUAUAUGUAUGUGUAUGUAUGUACACCACUUGAGGCCAUAUAUAUGUAUAUAAAUGUGUAUAGACCUAAUAUAUAUUUCUGUGUGUGUAUAUAUAUACAGAUACAUGGCUUCAAGUGGUCUGACUUGCAAAUACACCCACUGCUUGCUUACCCUUAUCUAUAAAGAUGUAAAUGCCACAUCAGUGCUGUGUGUUCCUAUAGCACGCAAGUCAACAAUUUCUUGUCUCUUUGUUCCUGCUGUUGAUGCUGUUUGCCUCUGUCUUCAACAAAGAGAAAUAAGGAAUAUGUGCAUCAUUCAGUGCACCUGACAAGAUUUAAUUAAAGACUUCGUUUCAGGCU